GACGAACCGUGCGAACGUUGUUCGGAAUCACUGGGCUUAAAGGGCGCGUAGGUGGUCUGUCAAGUCAAGGGUGAAUCUUUCGGCUCAACCGGAAACUGCCUUCGAUACUGGCAGGCUAGAGGGAGAUAGGGGUUGCGGGAACUACCAGUGGAGCGGUGAAAUGCGUUGAUAUUGGUAGGAACGCCGGUGGCGAAAGCGCGCAACUGGACCUCUUCUGACACUGAGGCGCGAAAGCUAGGGGAGCAAACGGG
rnacentral:rRNA from 1 species